rnacentral:lncRNA from 10 species
GAAAAAUCUGAUUGCCUGUGGAUCUAUGACAAAAGAGUGAUAUAUUUCAUAAAUACUUUAACUAAAAACAUAUGAAUGAAUUAAUAUUUUAGUUUACUACCAAGGUAAAGAAAACAAAUGUAGUAUUGUUUCUUCAUCUCUGGGUUACCACAUUGGAGAAAAAAGAUGAAUAUGAAUUAAUAUUUGAAGAAAUAUUUCUCUUAAGUCUCUGUUAGGUAGCACGUAAGGACAUACUCCUGGUUCUCCUUUGGAAAAUGUAACAUUUGCAUUGGUUGAUGUGACCUUCUCCUUACUUUCCAGUGGCUUCCAACUCGUUUCUGUACAUUGCGUCUCUCCAGACCACACAGCUCUCUUGUGUUACUGUGAGAAUGACAACACCUCUGUUGCAGCAUCAUUAGCGAUAUCCCACAGAGGAAAAGCACUGGUAACACGCAGCAAAACCUGUAUAUUGCUCAGUUCAGACACAUAAUGAAGCAUACCACGAAUAAAGAGAAUUCAAUAAGACCAGGAUCCUGCAUUACAGAAUUGCAAGUUUGGGCAUCAAGAGACACACUCACGCGGGGAAGAACACGUGAAGACACAGGGAGGAGACAGGGUUUACAUAAAGUCAAGGAGAAGGGCCUGAAACAUUCUUCUUUCACAGUCUCGCAUAAGGAACCAACCCUGCCGAAACCUUGAUCUCAGACUUCCAGCCUCAAGAACUGUGAGAAAAUAAAUUUCUGUUGUUUAAGCCAUUCAGCUUGUGGAACUUUUAUAUGAUGACUCUGGCAAACUAAUAUGGCAUUACACACAGGGGAUAAGAAAAUAAUCCAAAUAAGUAUAUGUAUCAACUACCAUAAGAGCAGAUUGAGUUCCUAUCCUAAAGGAAAAUACUACUAUUAGAUAAAUUUUAGAAAUGUAUCUAAUAAAGCUAUAACAAUCGGUAAAGCUCAUAAAUUUUCUUACUGUGAACUUAUAUAUGAAUUUAAAAUGGAAAGGUAUUAUGUACUAAUUCUUGUCCCGAUCAGAAGGUUUACCUGUACCCCUCAAAUAACUAUCACCAGAAUGAAGGCAGCAGUUACAUGAAGAAGCACAAAGAACCACCACUAAAGAUCUAAUGGUACCCAAAUCCCUUUUAAAGUAUGUCUGUGUCUAUAUUGGUUAACCUUUUCUUAUCUGAAAUACAAAUGCCACAUGAUCUCACUUAUAAGUGGAAGCUAAACAUUGAGUACAGAUGGACACACACAAAAAGAACAACAGACACAGGGGUCUACUUGAGAGAGAAGGGUGGGAGAAGGGUGAGGGUGGAAAAGAUACCUAUUGGGUACUAUGCUCACUACCUGGGUGAUGAAAUCAUUUGUACACCAAACUCCAGUGACACACAAUUUACUUAUGUAGCAAACCUGCACAAAACAACCCCCUCAUCCUAAAAAUAAAAGUUGAAAAAGAAACAAAACAAAAUAAAUCCUGUACUGAAAUUUCCCAAAGCUGUUGCAUUAUAGGGAAAUGGCCAUUUUUCUCAAGUUUUAUAUCAGUCAUUGUCUAGCUAAACAAUUUUUAAAAAAUUGACACAGAGGGAAUUUCUGCAUUUAAAUAGGUGGUGAAGAGCUUGAGAGCUAUAUAAGAGCUGAUAAAAUAAUCUAGAAGAAAAAAGACACAAGACCCUACUAGUUUUGCCCCUUCAUGAGAGGCAAAUGAAAAUAAUGGUGUUUCUGUGUUCCAGAAGUCUUGAUCAACUGAAAGAAGCUUAAUCUGCUGAUGAGAGUGGGAGUUGAAAUUACAAAGGACAAAUAAAGGCUGCCAGAAAAGUUAGCUGAUGUAAAAAGGGAAAUGGGAUACAUUGGCCUUCAAUAUUUUGCUGACAUCCUCCAGUAAAAAUUAAGUUGAUACUGGAGUCUGGGAAAUAAAAUAUUCAGUAGUUGAAAACAUCUCCCUCUCCAUUAUAACAAGCAGAUUAGGGAAGAGAGGAGCCAAAGUCUAACAAUGGAAAUGCUCUCUCCUCUUUUACUCUUUGGUAUCUAUGCUCAUCAUUUUACUCACAUUAAGAAACAGCAUUCUGCCCUGGCACACAGUGGCUCAGGCCUGUAAUCCCAGCACUUUGGGAGGCCAAGGCGGGUGGAUCACGAGGUCAAGAGAUCGAGACCAUGUUGACCAACAUGGUAAAAGCCCAUCUCUACUAAAAAUACAAAAUAAAAUUAGCUGGGAUUGGUGGCACAUGCCUGUAGUCCCAGCUACUCGGGAGGCUGACGCAGGAGAAUCGCUUGAACCCAGGAGGCAGAGGUUGCAGUGAGCCGAGAUUGCGCCACUGCACUCCAGCCUGGGAACAGAGUGAGAUUCCAUCUAAAAAAGAAAAAGAAAAAGAAAAAGAAAGAAACAAUAUUCUUUCGUUUGACAUGAGUCAACUAUUUAUCAAAUAAAAAUAGAUAUAAUCAGCUUGCCCUUUUCUUUCCCCUCCUUCUCCUUUUUCCUUCUCCUCUUCUCCUUUUCUCCUCCUUCUCUUCCUCCUCCUUCUUCUUCUUUCUUCUUUUUCUUCUUCUCUCCCC